CCUACGGGUGGCAGCAGUGAGGAAUAUUGGUCAAUGGGCGAGAGCCUGAACCAGUCAAGUCGCGUGAGGGAGUACUGCCCUAUGGGUUGUAAACCUCUUUUGUCGGGGAGCAAAAGCCGGACGUGUCCGGCUGUGAGAGUACCCGAAGAAAAAGCAUCGGCUAACUCCGUGCCAGCAGCCGCGGUAAUACGGAGGAUGCGAGCGUUAUCCGGAUUUAUUGGGUUUAAAGGGUGCGCAGGCGGAUGUUUAAGUCAGCGGUAAAAUCGUGGGGCUCAACCCCAUCCAGCCGUUGAAACUGGGGAUCUAGAGUGUGCGAGAGGUAUGCGGAAUGCGUGGUGUAGCGGUGAAAUGCAUAGAUAUCACGCAGAACCCCGAUUGCGAAGGCAGCAUACCGGUGCACAACUGACGCUCAGGCACGAAAGCGUGGGUAUCGAACAGGAUUAGAUACCCCAGUAGUC
rnacentral:rRNA from 1 species